rnacentral:rRNA from 1 species
UGGGCGAAGCCUGAUCCAGCCAUGCCGCGUGUGUGAAGAAGGCUUUCGGGUUGUAAAGCACUUUCAGUGAGGAAGAACGCCUUGGGGCUAAUACCCCCGAGGGAAGACAUCACUCACAGAAGAAGCACCGGCUAACUCCGUGCCAGCAGCCGCGGUAAUACGGAGGGUGCAAGCGUUAAUCGGAAUUACUGGGCGUAAAGCGCGCGUAGGCGGCGUGAUAAGCCGGUUGUGAAAGCCCCGGGCUCAACCUGGGAACGGCAUCCGGAACUGUCAGGCUAGAGUGCAGGAGAGGAAGGUAGAAUUCCCGGUGUAGCGGUGAAAUGCGUAGAGAUCGGGAGGAAUACCAGUGGCGAAGGCGGCCUUCUGGACUGACACUGACGCUGAGGUGCGAAAGCGUGGGUAGCAAACAGGAUUAGAUACCCUGGUAGUCCACGCCGUAAACGAUGUCGACUAGCCGUUGGGGUCCUAGAGACCUUUGUGGCGCAGUUAACGCGAUAAGUCGACCGCCUGGGGAGUACGGCCGCAAGGUUAAAACUCAAAUGAAUUGACGGGGGCCCGCACAAGCGGUGGAGCAUGUGGUUUAAUUCGAUGCAACGCGAAGAACCUUACCUACCCUUGACAUCGUGCGAACUUGGUAGAGAUACCUUGGUGCCUUCGGGAGCGCACAGACAGGUGCUGCAUGGCUGUCGUCAGCUCGUGUUGUGAAAUGUUGGGUUAAGUCCCGUAACGAGCGCAACCCUUGUCCCUAUUUGCCAGCGAUUCGGUCGGGAACUCUAGGGAAACUGCCGGUGACAAACCGGAGGAAGGUGGGACGACGUCAAGUCAUCAUGGCCCUUA